GAUGCCGCAGUCCCACGCUGAUGCCGACCCUGGGGAGUCAUCCGGCCAAAGUCGUUGCUUCAACGAAAAAGCGGAUGCCGGGCCCCGGGCUGACUCUCUACCCAACUCCUAACUCGCGAGGCUCACCCCUGGGAAGCCAAGGAGUGGUCGGGCCCCGCUAACCUCGUCGCAUCUUCCGGACUGGAGGCCUGGGGGAGGCCUGGGGAAGGAGGUGGGAGAGGAGUCGGGCGGUCCCGGAUGGAGGGGAUGGGGCAGCGGGGCGUCCAACUGGAUUUACAGCCUGAAUUUCUUUUGCGUUCCUGUGAGCCCCUUACCUCCCCAGAAUACUGAUUAAUCAGGGAAUGCCUGCUGGUUUUUCAACUUUAUUGUGUUUGUGUUUAACAGCUAUAUUGCGUUAUAACUGGCAUACAAUAAACCACACAUUUAAAGUGUA